UCAUUGUGGAACUGUCAUGUGGUAUCAGGUAAUGCAGAUCACAGGACCUUGAUAUCAUGGUGAUCUUUCUUUUACCCUGACCCAGCCAUGGGCACCAGGCUCCUCACCUGGGCAGUGCUCUGUCUCCUGGGGGCAGUACUGUCUGAAGCUGGAGUCACUCAGUCUCCCAGAUAUGUGAUCAUACAGGAAAGGCAAGAUGCUUCCUUUUGGUGUGACCCUAUUUCUGGACAUACUACUCUUUACUGGUAUCAGCAGCCCAGAGACCAGGGCCCCCAGCUUCUAGUCUAUUUUCAGAAUGAGGCUGUUAUGGAUGAUUCACAAUUGCCCAAGGGUCGCUUUUCUGCAGUAAGACCUGAAGCAGUCAACUCCACUCUGAAGAUCCAGUCUGCGAAGCUGGAGGAUACAGCGACAUACCUCUGUGCCAGCAGUGUAUCCACAGCAACGCGGAGACACCUCUCUGCUGUGCACAAAGCUGGUGGUUUUCUUCAAGCCAGCUUUCAGCAGAGACCUCUGCUUGCUUCUUAUAUUCCAUAG